rnacentral:rRNA from 1 species
GACGAACGCUGGCGGCGUGCCUAACACAUGCAAGUUGAGCGACGAACCAGGGCUUGCCCUGGGGCAAAGCAGCGAACGGGUGAGUAACACGUGGGUAACCUACCCCGAUAACCGGGACAACCCGAGGAAACUCGGGCUAAUACCGGAUGUGCUCACUGGACUUCGGUUCAGUGCGUAAAGGAAGCUUCGGCCUCCGUAUCGGGAGGGGCCCGCGGCCCAUUAGUUUGUUGGUGGGGUAACGGCUCACCAAGACCGCGAUGGGUAGCUGGUCUGAGAGGACGAUCGGCCACACUGGGACUGAGACACGGCCCAGACUCCUACGGGAGGCAGCAGUGGGGAAUCUUGCGCAAUGCGCGAAAGCGUGACGCAGCAACGCCGCGUGGGGGAAGAAGGCCUUCGGGUUGUAAACCCCUUUCAGGAGGGACGAAGGUUCGGCGGUGAAUAGCCGUCCGGACUGACGGUACCUCCACAAGAAGCCCCGGCUAACUACGUG